CCUACGGGCGGCAGCAGUGAGGAAUAUUGGUCAAUGGCCGCAGGGCUGAACCAGCCAAGUCGCGUGAGGGAUGACGGUCCUAUGGAUUGUAAACCUCUUUUGUCAGGGAGCAAAGGGCGCCACGUGAGGCGUUUCGCGAGUACCUGAAGAAAAAGCAUCGGCUAACUCCGUGCCAGCAGCCGCGGUAAUACGGAGGAUGCGAGCGUUAUCCGGAUUUAUUGGGUUUAAAGGGUGCGCAGGCGGAAUGUAAAGUCAGCGGUAAAAUUUCGGGGCUCAACCCCGUCGUGCCGUUGAAACUGGCGGUCUGGAGUGAGCGAGAGGUAUGCGGAAUGCGUGGUGUAGCGGUGAAAUGCGUAGAUAUAGCGCAGAACUCCGAUUGCGAAGGCAGCAUACCGGCGUUCAACUGACGCUGAGGCACGAAAGCGUGGGUAGCGAACAGGAUUAGAUACCCGGGUAGUC
rnacentral:rRNA from 1 species